rnacentral:rRNA from 1 species
CUGCACGCGCGCUACACUGAUGAAGGCAGCGAGUUACAUCCUUGACCGGAAGGUCUGGGUAAUCUUACAAACNUCAUCGUGCUGGGGAUAGAUCUUUGCAAUUAUCGAUCUUAAACGAGGAAUUCCUAGUAAGCGUGAUUCAUCAGAUCACGUUGAUUACGUC